rnacentral:rRNA from 1 species
GACGAACGCUGGCGGCGUGCCUAAUACAUGCAAGUAGAACGCUGAAGGAGGAGCUUGCUUCUCCGGAUGAGUUGCGAACGGGUGAGUAACGCGUAGGUAACCUGCCUGGUAGCGGGGGAUAACUAUUGGAAACGAUAGCUAAUACCGCAUAAGAGUAGAUGUUGCAUGACAUUUGCUUAAAAGGUGCAAUUGCAUCACUACCAGAUGGACCUGCGUUGUAUUAGCUAGUUGGUGGGGUAACGGCUCACCAAGGCGACGAUACAUAGCCGACCUGAGAGGGUGAUCGGCCACACUGGGACUGAGACACGGCCCAGACUCCUACGGGAGGCAGCAGUAGGGAAUCUUCGGCAAUGGACGGAAGUCUGACCGAGCAACGCCGCGUGAGUGAAGAAGGUUUUCGGAUCGUAAAGCUCUGUUGUAAGAGAAGAACGAGUGUGAGAGUGGAAAGUUCACACUGUGACGGUAUCUUACCAGAAAGGGACGGCUAACUACGUGCCAGCAGCCGCGGUAAUACGUAGGUCCCGAGCGUUGUCCGGAUUUAUUGGGCGUAAAGCGAGCGCAGGCGGUUAGAUAAGUCUGAAGUUAAAGGCUGUGGCUUAACCAUAGUACGCUUUGGAAACUGUUUAACUUGAGUGCAAGAGGGGAGAGUGGAAUUCCAUGUGUAGCGGUGAAAUGCGUAGAUAUAUGGAGGAACACCGGUGACGAAAGCGGCUCUCUGGCUUGUAACUGGCGCUGAGGCUCGAAAGCGUGGGGAGCAAACAGG